rnacentral:sRNA from 1 species
UUAUAAAAUGGACAUCGAAUUUGAAGGCGCCUAAACAGGGACGACUCUGGAGUAGUUUGACACAGAAAGAUUUCGGCGCAUGUUCUUACAAAUACCCCGGUAUAAUGAAGGUGACCGUGCCCCAAUUCCCUCCAGAAUCCAGUUUCACCCGAGCGGCACAAACUCUAUUUUUGGCAAUAUAGAUUUUAAUAAUAACCAAUUGGGUUCGAAAAGUGUCCAUUUUUAUACAUGUACAAGGAAAUAAAGGAAGUAAUAAAUAAAGCUUGUUUGAACUGUUUUGUAGCUUGACUUAACUUAUAUACAUUGCACUCUCUGCGUAAUACCGAAACGCGAUCCCGGUGCUUAUAGCUACUUUAGAACCACUGCAUACUGAAUUACAAUCAUUUCAUGAAAAAACCAGCAUGUAAUGUUAAAGUUCCAGCAUGUAAUGUUGAAGUAUCAGCAUAUUAUGUUAAGUAUCAUAUAUUAAAGAAGUUUCAGCAUGAACAUAUAAUGUUAGAGUAUCAGCACGUAAUGUUAAAGUACCAUCAUGUAAUGUUAAAAUAUCAGCACGAAAUGUCAAAGUACCAUGGUCAUCGUGUAAUGUUUAAGUAGCAUCAUGUAAUGUUAAAAUAUCAGCCUGUUAUGUUGAAGUACCAUCAUGUAAUGUUGAAGUACCAUCAUGUAAUGUUGAAGUACCAUCAUGUAAUGUUAAAGUAUCAGCAUGUAAUGUUGAAGUACCAUCAUUUAAUGUUAAAGUUCCAGCAUGUAAUGUUGAAGUACCAUCAUGUAAUGUUAAAGUAUCAGCAUGUAAUGUUGAAGUACCAUCAUGUAAUGUUAAAGUACCAUCAUGUAAUGUUAAAGUAUCAGUACGUAAUGUUAAAUUAUCAUCAUAUUAUGAAGACUAUCUACAUAAGGCAGUUGUCGCGUUCCAUAGAAUUGCAUUGUUUAGUUGGCUUGUCGGGGUAUUUUUACAAUGAAAUUUGUUUUAAACAUCAAGCUUUCAUUUAACUUUACAUAUAGAAUCAAUUGUUCUUUUAUGAAUAAAACCUUUCCAGCUUCUU